rnacentral:tRNA from 1 species
GUGGGUGUAGCUCAGUUUGGUAGAGCACCGGGUUGUGGUCCCGGUUGUCGCGGGUUCGAGCCCCGUCACUCACC